rnacentral:rRNA from 1 species
GCUGUGAGCUCGAUGAGUAGGGCGGGACACGUGGUAUCCUGUCUGAAUAUGGGGGGACCAUCCUCCAAGGCUAAAUACUCCUGACUGACCGAUAGUGAACCAGUACCGUGAGGGAAAGGCGAAAAGAACCCCGGCGAGGGGAGUGAAAAAGAACCUGAAACCGUGUACGUACAAGCAGUGGGAGCACGCUUCGGCGUGUGACUGCGUACCUUUUGUAUAAUGGGUCAGCGACUUAUAUUCUGUAGCAAGGUUAACCGAAUAGGGGAGCCGAAGGGAAACCGAGUCUUAACUGGGCGUUAAGUUGCAGGGUAUAGACCCGAAACCCGGUGAUCUAGCCAUGGGCAGGUUGAAGGUUGGGUAACACUAACUGGAGGACCGAACCGACUAAUGUUGAAAAAUUAGCGGAUGACUUGUGGCUGGGGGUGAAAGGCCAAUCAAACCGGGAGAUAGCUGGUUCUCCCCGAAAGCUAUUUAGGUAGCGCCUCGUGAAUUCAUCUCCGGGGGUAGAGCACUGUUUCGGCAAGGGGGUCAUCCCGACUUACCAACCCGAUGCAAACUGCGAAUACCGGAGAAUGUUAUCACGGGAGACACACGGCGGGUGCUAACGUCCGUCGUGAAGAGGGAAACAACCCAGACCGCCAGCUAAGGUCCCAAAGUCAUGGUUAAGUGGGAAACGAUGUGGGAAGGCCCAGACAGCCAGGAUGUUGGCUUAGAAGCAGCCAUCAUUUAAAGAAAGCGUAAUAGCUCACUGGUCGAGUCGGCCUGCGCGGAAGAUGUAACGGGGCUAAACCAUG